rnacentral:rRNA from 1 species
UACGAAGGGGGCUAGCGUUGUUCGGAAUCACUGGGCGUAAAGGGCGCGUAGGCGGCCGUUCAAGUCGGGGGUGAAAGCCUGUGGCUCAACCACAGAAUGGCCUUCGAUACUGGACGGCUCGAGACCGGAAGAGGUCAGUGGAACUGCGAGUGUAGGGGUGAAAUUCGUAGAUAUUCGCAAGAACACCAGUGGCGAAGGCGGCUGACUGGUCCGGUUCUGACGCUGAGGCGCGAAAGCGUGGGGAGCAAACAGG